CUUUAGUACAUUUGUCAUUCAUGUUUUGUUUACUUCUUCUAAUUUUUUUAUUUGUUUCUUCCUUAACCAUUUGGUCAGAUUGUUAGUUCCAUUAAUUUUUGUGUUGUGUCAUCUUUGAGGUCACUAUGUUUCUUUGCUUUCUCUUUGAUAACUUUAUAUAACUCAGCUAGUUGAUGUUUGAUUUCUUCUCCAUUGGUGCUCCUUGAAUCUGCUUUGGGAGAGUUUGGAGUCAUUUUGUUGCCUUAUUUUUUCAUGUACCUUUUUUGCGUGUGCGUGGUGAGAGUGGAGGAUAAAUAGAGUAAAGGGAAUUUGUUGUUGGUAUAAAAAUCUCUAAGUUUUUGUUGUCCAGUGAUGUGUUUUUGGCUUUAUUUUUCAAGAGGUAUUGUUUAUCACUUCAAACUAUUUAGCUUAAUUGUGGUGGACCCUGUUAUUCCUUGAGUAUAUGCAGUAGUCUCUGCUGGGUCUCUGUCUUGGGGGACAAGCUAGGAAAAUGCAAGUCAGCAGCACAGCUGGAGCCAGCCAGGUUGUUUUCCGCAGCCCAGACCCAUCAGUCUGAAGCUGCUGCUUGGGGCUCUGCUGCUCAGGUUCUGGCUCCUUCACUAUUUGGGUCCUUAGCUCCUCUGCUCCUCUGAUCUGCUGUAGCCUGAUAGAGUGAGAUCGAGUUUGAGAGAAUCCUGUGGGCCUGUAAAUUUACUUGUUUAUUCAUUCUCUCAUUUGACAGCUAGACAAUGCUAGCACAUCUGUUAGAACAAAAUUCUUGAAGUUGGGUACUUUACAUACAAAAGAUGCUUAUUUGAUUCAGGCUUAGCUGGAAAGUCCAGACAGCAGGGUCCUGGCAUCUGUGUUACAUCGUGACUUGCUGUGUGCAGUAGGGGUGCAAGUGUGAGCAAAGAAGCAAGAGAGUGGGAGGACGAGGCUUACUCUUUAUAAGAAUUUGCUCUUGAGAGAACUAAUCUACUCUAGGAGACUUGUCCCACUUCUUUGAAACACCACCAGUCAACUCAUGAGGAUGGAUUUAAUGACCAUCUACUAGGCUUCACCUCUUAAAUGGUUUGGUGGACCCUCAGCACUGCCACACUGGGGACCUAGCUUCCAGCACAUGAAUCUUUGGGAGACAAACCACAUUCAAACCACUGUACCCUACGAUCUGUUAAAAAAUUACCCUUACAUGGUGAAUUAUUAAAGCAUUGUUCUUUUUAGGCCUUGUCAACCACCAUAAUGUUUUUAUAAGCACCCGGAAAGCAGCAUUCACUGUAUUUUUGGUUAUAUUUCAUAAGAAUACAAAAAAGGACUUCCAGAACUGCUUCAGAAAGUGUUAAGAAUGGGAUCGAAUUCGGGACCUUGCACUUGUGAGACAGGCACCGGAACCACUGAGCUAAAUCUCCGGCCCUUAAUUUGGAAAUUCUGUGCCUGGGCUUGGUGUUUUAUUGAAGGCAUGAAGAUAGCUCUUGGCAAUCUAAGACCUCAGUGAGCUAGUUCAAGAGAGUAAAUUAAAGCUAAGAGUGCUGUGCUGAAACAAAGACUUAUUAGACCAACCUUAGUUUACUUACAAUGCCUCAUCCAUUUAAAUUCUACUCAUGAACAAAACCAUUCCCAGAAACAGGAAAACUAAUAAGAGCUAACAUGCAUUAUACUAGCGUGCAUUGUAAAACUAUCACUGGGAUGCUGUAAACAUGACUCCCAUUUUUCCAUGC
ensembl:lncRNA